rnacentral:rRNA from 1 species
GAUGAACGCUAGCUACAGGCUUAACACAUGCAAGUCGAGGGGUAGCAGGGUAGCAAUACCGCUGACGACCGGCGCACGGGUGAGUAACACGUAUCCAACCUACCACUAACUCAGGGAUAGCCUUUCGAAGGAAAGAUUAAUACUUGAUGGCAUAACGCUAAGGCAUCUUAUUGUUAUUAAAGAAUUUCGGUUAGUGAUGGGGAUGCGUUCCAUUAGAUUGUUGGUGAGGUCACGGCUCACCAAGUCUUCGAUGGAUAGGGGUUCUGAGAGGAAGGUCCCCCACAUUGGAACUGAGACACGGUCCAAACUCCUACGGGAGGCAGCAGUGAGGAAUAUUGGUCAAUGGGCGAGAGCCUGAACCAGCCAAGUAGCGUGAAGGAUGAAGGCCCUAUGGGUCGUAAACUUCUUUUAUAUGAGAAUAAAGUUGUCCACGUGUGGAUUUUUGUAUGUAUCAUAUGAAUAAGGAUCGGCUAACUCCGUGCCAGCAGCCGCCGUAAAAC